GACCCGUUAGCUCAGUUGGUAGAGCAAUUCCCUUUUAAGGAAUGGGCCCUAGGUUCGAAUCCUAGACGGGUCACCA
rnacentral:tRNA from 9 species